ensembl:lncRNA
GGUGGUGUGUUGAUGAGAGUACUGAGAGAGUGAAGCAGGUGGUGUGUUGAUGAGAGUACUGAGAGAGUGAAGCAGGUGGUGUGUUGAUGAGAGUACUGAGAGAGUGAAGCAGGUGGUGUGUUGAUGAGAGUACUGAGAGAGUGAAGCAGGUGGUGUGUUGAUGAGAGUACUGAGAGAGUGAAGCAGGUGGUGUGUUGAUGAUAGUACUGAGAGCGUGAAGCAGGUGGUGUGUUGAUGAUAGUACUGAGAGCGUGAAGCAGGUGGUGUGUUGAUGAGAGUACUGAGAGCGUGAAGCAGGUGGUGUGUUGAUGAGAGUACUGAGAAAGUGUGAAGCAGGUGGUGUGUUGAUGAGAGUACUGAGAGAGUGAAGCAGGUGGUGUGUUGAUGAGAGUACUGAGAGUGAAGCAGGUGGUGUGUUGAUGAGAGUACUGAGAGAGUGAAGCAGGUGGUGUGUUGAUGAGAGUACUGAGAGAGUGAAGCAGGUGUGUGGUUGCGAAGACCCGCAUAAAAAAUUAAAAAAAAG